GGCCCAAACAACAAUGAUGGGGCAUGUACAAAGAUAGAGUCGUAACAGAGGAGUCUUCGGAGAUGCUCCACACGCGGAGGAAAUCGCUGGAUGUGGCCAGCAGGUCGGGCUUCUGGCACUCCUUAUCCGGGAUGAAUAUGGUCAUGGUCGGCGGAUACGGGUGCUCGAAGGAAAGAUUCGGGUCUGAGCGGAUCUCUCCGUUGGAGUUGUCCAGCUGGCCAGUCUCGACUCGACCAAGAUCCACCCAGCUCACCUAGCUUUGAUUCCUCUGGUGGAGUUCUGUGAUGUUCAUAUUAUGAAUAAGUAUGCAGUGAAGCCUGACCCGGAGACCGUGGAUAUAAUCACCACUGCAGCUAGCCAGAAAGAGAUUAUAGCUUGGCCUCUUGGGCUGCUGCUGCUGCGGCUGCUUCAUCUUUGGAAGCAAUUCUGUGUGGUCGACUGUGAUUGAAGAUAGGUUAAGGGACAGUGGGUGCUUCUGGUGUGAUGGUUGGUGAGACAGAAGAAAAAUGAGAUGGAGAUAAACAUGAGGAAGAGAAAGAGCUGGAAGAAGAAUGUAAAUAGAAAAGAAAAUGGAAAGAAAAAAAAAGUCAUUGAGGGUAUAACAGAAAUUUUGACGAGGAACGAAUGUCACGUCAGCAAUUUAACAGAAAUUUUGACGGAGCAUUAACGGCAAUGGCCAAUUGUGUGAAAUUAGAGAGUUUAGUGAGUUUCUAGGUGAAAUUGAAAAGCGAGGGACUGAAAUGUCGAGACCCUAUAAGUAUAUGGAGUAAACAGUAUUUAGUCUUAUUUUAUUACAUUA